UUUAAUAUAACUGAUAAAAUAGAUUUAAUUUAAAUUUAAUCCAAUUUAAAUUGAAUUAAAAAUAUUUAAAUGAAUUUGCUCUAAUUAAAAUAGACAUGAAGUGUAUAUCCAAUAUUUUUUAUUUUAUGUGGAUUGAUCUAGACUUUCACCCUAUGCAGAUUUAAUAUAGACUAUCUUUCGAUGUGGAUUCGAUCUAUACUAUCACCCAUGACAUAAAUUGACUAUAAUGAUUUUUCAGUGUUUGGAUUGAGGAGGAGAUGUGUGAAGAAUUUGAGGAAGUGGAUGUGUGAGGAUUUGAGAUGAGAGUGCGAA
rnacentral:lncRNA from 1 species